AGUUGGACGACAUAACUGUGGUUGUGUCUUACAUAACCAGUGACAAAAAUGAAAGCUCCAACAGCUUGAAGAUUAGUUAAACAGGUUUUGUACCUAUACUGGGUAACAGGUGCGCGUUUGUUUUUGUGAAAUUAAAACUGCUGGCCGUGGGGGUCAGUUUAGAAGCUUCAUAUAACACAGGCGUUUGCGGAUGCAAUUCUAGUGCUCUUCCACGUGUAUAUAUCAGUCUUUUGGCAAUUCUCUACCUCUUCUUCCCAUACUCCAAACCACACCCUAUACAUAACCCUUGAGCCCCUUUGUCUCCCUCUGUGGAGAAGAUUAGGAGUAUGUUGAAUGAAGUGUACAAAUAUGAGAUGAAUUCUUUUGGUGGUUAAUGCAGGUUUGGACUUUUCUGGUAAUAUUUUGGUAUUGUUUGGAAUUGCAAUUAAGGAAUAUACCUGAGUUACAACAUAAAGCUUAUUCCUUGGUGAAUCUAAAAUUUUGUCAAUUCACUCUAUAGUUCUUGGGACUUCAUCCCUCAAAAUGGUUCGUCAA